GGACCCCACUGUCAGAUGCUGGUGAUGGAUGGCUCGGGGCACCGACUGCCAGGGCGAUGGAAUGACAGUGCUCCUGUCCGGCCAACAGGCGGUGGAGCCAGAGUCAGAGCGCGGGCUUGGCUGGUGCAGGGCAGGGCGAGGGCCCAGCCACCCAAACAAAGGCCUGUUCACCAGGGCAGGAGGGUUCCGGCUGCGGGCCUGCCGGGCCCCGUGGGGUCCACCCAGGGACUCACAAUGGACAGCCUGUGCCCCGGCCAUCCGAUCCUCCCAGAGCCGCCCUGGGCCUGGCGCCACGGACAAGGAAUCAACAGGGUGCUUUGCAGGACUGACCGCUUCCUGAACAACACGAGGGCCCUCCUCUUCUCUUUUCCUGACCCUCCCCACACACAUACUGUGUAGUCGAGACCACGGCCCCCUGCCCACGGCUCCUUGGAUGAAGAGCAGGGGUCCAGGGGCUGAGAAGAGCCAAUGGAGGGUGAAGGCGAAGGAGGAAGCCUGCCCGGGAGGCUCUGAGGACUUGGUGGAGUGGCUGUUUGGGGCUGACUCAGGGAAGAUGGUGACAGGAAACACACAGAAUCAGCAGAUUCUGUCCCAGUCCUCAGGCACCAGCCCCUGCCCUGACCCCAGGCUGGUGGCCGCCGUGGCUGCAGGCAGGGAGGGGACAGCGAGACCAGAGAAGCCCAGGGCUCAGCAAGAAGAGGCCUCAAGGAGAGCAGGGUCACCAGAUCCUUUGGGUCCUGCCCUGGGAACCUGGGGAGGGAGGCUAUUGCUUCCUGCUGCUGCUGCUUUUUUAGAAAGCCGUGUAUCAACUUUCUUUCAUUUUAGGAAAAAUGCGGAGCAUCAAAUCCAGGACGGCCACGGCUGACUCAGUGGUGAGGCCAGCCUCCAGCCUGCAGAAUGAAAGCCCCGGGCCCAGUUAGAACCUCGCUGUGGUCUGUGGAGCGAGGCAGUUGUGGGCCUGAUCUAACCCGGGGCCCCCUGACUACUUCUGGAGGGGGCAGGGGGUCCAUAGUUUAAGCCCUGUGACCACAUGGUCUGUGUUGUAACCACUCACUCUGCUUCUGUAUCUCAAAACCCAUCACAGGCGACGUGAGUGAACGAUUGUGGCCGUGUGUCAAUAAAACUUCACUUACGGGCCA